UAUUGGACAAUGGGGGAAACCCUGAUCCAGCGACGCCGCGUGAGUGAAGAAGUAUUUCGGUAUGUAAAGCUCUAUCAGCAGGGAAGAAAGAAAUGACGGUACCUGAGUAAGAAGCCCCGGCUAACUACGUGCCAGCAGCCGCGGUAAUACGUAGGGGGCAAGCGUUAUCCGGAAUUACUGGGUGUAAAGGGAGCGUAGACGGUUAUGUAAGUCUGGAGUGAAAGCCCGGGGCCCAACCCCGGGACUGCUUUGGGAAACUGUGUAACUGGAGUACAGGAGGGGCAGGCGGAAUUCCUGGUGUAGCGGUGAAAUGCGUAGAUAUCAGGAGGAACACCGGCGGCGAAGGCGGCCUGCUGGACUGAAACUGACGUUGAGGCUCGAAAGCGUGGGGAGCAAACAGG
rnacentral:rRNA from 1 species